GGGGACGUUACGGAUUCGACAGGCACAGUUUGAGCUUGAAUUGCGUUUCGUAGGUUACGUCUACGUUAAAACGUUACAGUUAAAUAUAACUGCUAAAAACGAAAACAACUCUUACGCUUUAGCUGCCUAAAAACAGCCGGCGUAGAUCCUCUCGGCAUCGCCCAUGUGCUCGAGUAAGGGUCUCAAAUUCAGUGGGAUACGUAUCGACUUUCCGUCUGCAAGUCGAUAAAGAGAACAUCAGACUAGCGAUACAGACUGCCUGUCACUCGGCAAGCUGUAAAGCGAAACUUCAAAUGAGUUGACUAUGAACGUAGAUUUUUAAGUGGCGAUGUGUUUGGACGCGGGUUCGACUCCCGCCGUCUCCAUUG
rnacentral:tmRNA from 1 species